GAAAGAUUUCCGGUGUUUGAAAGGCAACAACAUCAGCGAGCAGCCACGAGGAAAGCAAUCUACCACACUCGUUUGGUCUUGUGUCAAAGCUGUGCGAAACUGGAGGGAGAAACUUCGGAGACCGUGCCGGAAGAAUGCUGGACAGAGUUCACUAAAAUUAAUUAAUUUCAAAGUUCAACAUGAAUGGUGGUGGUCCACUGCAGAAGCAAGUAUUUGAAAAAACAUCAGUUCUCAGUUAUUAAAGAUGCUGUGUUGAACAACUUCCCAUCAGCAACAGAACUGGAAGUGAAGGAUGCAAUGGGGGCAUUUCAAACAGGCACCAGGGAGCACGGUAGUGAUGGGUCGUUCGCGAACGCCGGCUCUAAGAGCUGAUUCUUUGUAGCGAACGAGCAGAGCCGAAUCUUCAGACGCAGGCAGGGGAGCCGGCUCUUCUAAGGGAGCUGAGCCAGAAGAGCCGAAUCUAUGAAAAGAGCCGGGCUGCCACCACUAAAAUGUAGAGCCGGAGCUUGAGCCGAAAGAGCCGAAUCAAUGGAAAGAGCCGGACUGCCCAUCACUAGAGCACGGGGUGGGGGGGGUAUAGAAAUUAGUACAAUUAAUAAGUUGACGUGAACUGAAGAUAGUUUGUUAAUGUUUAGAUGUUAUUUCAUUUUUCAAAUUGUAUUUUGUUAUUUAUGCUUUUAUUUUGUUACUGUUUUUAUUCUUUUUGUUAAGUAGUUUUUCUUCAUUUUGUCUUAUCUGAAUUUCUAUUGUAUUAACAAUAUUUUUUGUAAUAAAUUGCAUGAUUGCAUGUUUAUGAGAACCUUUUUUAAUGGAUUAAAAAGAAUUCUUUAGCCAUUCUUUUGUUCUUUAUUAGACACACACGUAUAGUCGUUUAAUAGCCGUCUAUUUAACGGCUAGUCUAAUCUUGGGCUAUGAUAGACGUCUACUAGAUUUUCACUGACAGCCCAAAAUUAGCCUUGUUUUAGCCUAGACCCACAUUCACCGUCUAUUAGACGUAUAUAUGUAGACGUUUAAUAGCCGUCUAUUUGAUGACUAGUCUAUUUCUUGGGCUAUGAUAGACGUCUACUAGAUUUUCACUGACAGCCCAAAAUUAGCCUUGUUUUAGCCUAGACGUCAGGGGGGUGUUUAGACGGCUACUAGACGUCUAUUAGCCGCAAAAUUGCUUGCUGGGAAGGAUGUCUUGUUUUCUUUUAUGACAUACAAAAAUCAACAAUCAAGAUUUAAAUGUGUAUGAAGCAUUGUAUGUUAUGAUUUGUGAUCUUGUAUACGUUUGUUUGCAGUAUAAGUGUCAGAAUUCACCAGUACAUAAUUGGCUCAUAAUGUCGUCAAGGCCAAAAGUUGUAUGCCAAUGAACGUUACCCGCCAUCUUGUAUCCAACUUUACAAGCAGAUCAGAGUAAAAGAGUAAAUCCUAAAUGGGGGAAUUUAAAAUAAUUGAAACAGUACAACUGGAUUCACACGAUGGUAUGAAACUGUGCGACCACAUCAUAGCCGAUGAAAGCUUUGAAAUCCUCCCUUUUUGGGGAGGCUGUAAACACAACAUGCAAGUGUGCCAGAUGCUUUGAUACACAGAUAUGUCAGUCGUGUAUCCGAAUGAAAGUUGAAAACCUUGUGUGCAUGGGCUCCUUUGAAGUGUACAUCUAUGAUCACAGUAAAACCCACUUUGUUGUUUUCUGUUGUGUGAGUCAUGAACUUGAUAUUAAACAUAGAAAAAAUUAGAGAAGGACUAUCUACAUGAAAUGUCAGGUCAAAUAUGAAUUGUGUGUACUGUUAGACUGUCUAAGUCUCUAUUGUGUUUGUG